CCAGGGAGGGCACACCACUGCUUCUGGAGCAGCCCAACUUCUGCGAUCACUCAAGGGGUAAUUAUGCCUCCAGCUUCCUGCGAUGGCUGUGAGGCAGGAAACAGUACCUCGAUGUUGGUUGCGUUCAGCUUCUCCUCCAUGACUUGCUUGAGGAUGAUGAGUGAAGACUUGAUGGCCUCCUUCAGAGUCAUAGACUUCAAGAGAGAUGAGCUGUUAGUUGAACAUGAUCCUUUCCUUCAACCCUCCCUGCAUCUCUCUGAAGAAACAACUUAGCCGAUAUUAAUAAACCUUACAUCCUAA